AUUGAACGCUGGCGGCAGGCCUAACACAUGCAAGUCGAUCGGCAGCGGGAAAGUAGCUUGCUACUUUUGCCGGCGAGCGGCGGACGGGUGAGUAAUGCCUGGGAAAUUGCCCAGUCGAGGGGGAUAACAGUUGGAAACGACUGCUAAUACCGCAUACGCCCUACGGGGGAAAGCGGGGGACCUUCUGGCCUUGUGCGCUUGGAUAUGCCCAGGUGGGAUUAGCUAGUUGGUGAGGUAAUGGCUCACCAAGGCGACGAUCCCUAGCUGGUCUGAGAGGAUGACCAGCAUAACUGGAAAUGAGACACGGUCCAGACUCCUACGGGAGGAAGAAGUGGGGAAUAUUGCAGAAUGGGGGAAACCCUGAUGCAGCCAUGCCGCGUGUGUGAAGAAGGCCUUCGGGUUGUAAAGCACUUUCAGCGAGGAGGAAAGGUCAGUAGCUAAUAUCUGCUGACUGUGACGUCACUCGCAGAAGAAGCACCGGCUAACUCCGUGCCAGCCGCCGCAGUAAUAC
rnacentral:rRNA from 1 species